CCUACGGGUGGCAGCAGUGAGGAAUAUUGGUCAAUGGACGAGAGUCUGAACCAGCCAAGUAGCGUGAAGGAUGACUGCCCUAUGGGUUGUAAACUUCUUUUAUAUGGGAAUAAAAUGUUCCACGUGUGGGAUUUUGUAUGUACCAUAUGAAUAAGGAUCGGCUAACUCCGUGCCAGCAGCCGCGGUAAUACGGAGGAUCCGAGCGUUAUCCGGAUUUAUUGGGUUUAAAGGGAGCGUAGGUGGAUUGUUAAGUCAGUUGUGAAAGUUUGCGGCUCAACCGUAAAAUUGCAGUUGAAACUGGCAGUCUUGAGUACAGUAGAGGUGGGCGGAAUUCGUGGUGUAGCGGUGAAAUGCUUAGAUAUCACGAAGAACUCCGAUUGCGAAGGCAGUUCACUGGACUGCAACUGACACUGAGGCUCGAAAGUGUGGGUAUCAAACAGGAUUAAAUACCCGAGUAGUC
rnacentral:rRNA from 1 species